rnacentral:rRNA from 1 species
UACGUAGGGUGCAAGCGUUAAUCGGAAUUACUGGGCGUAAAGCGUGCGCAGGCGGUUGUGCAAGACAGGGGUGAAAUCCCCGGGCUUAACCUGGGAACUGCCUUUGUGACUGCACGGCUAGAGUGUGUCAGAGGGGGGUAGAAUUCCACGUGUAGCAGUGAAAUGCGUAGAUAUGUGGAGGAAUACCGAUGGCGAAGGCAGCCCCCUGGGAUAACACUGACGCUCAUGCACGAAAGCGUGGGGAGCAAACAGG